rnacentral:rRNA from 1 species
AAACCAGGAUUAGAUACCCUAUUAUAUUUAAACAAAUUGGGUAGUAUUAUUAAUAGAAACCUUUAUACUUUGGCGGCAUUUUAUCUUAUUAGAGGAAUAUGUUCAUUAAUCGAAACCACACGAUAGUUUUUACUUACUAUAAAAUUUUAUAUACCCCCGUCUAAAGAAUUUAUUUAAAAUUUUUAUUCCAAAUUAUAUUAAAAAAAGUUAGGUAAAGGUGUAGACUAUUAGUAAGAUUAAAUGUAUUACAUUAAAAAAAAAUUUAAGGAUAAAACAGUUAACUGUUUAUUAAAAGAGGAUUUAUAAGUAAUUUACUUUUAAUAAAAAUUAAUGAAUAAGAAAAUAAAUGUGCACAUAUCGCCCGUCACUCUCACAUAUAAACCAGGAUUAGAUACCCUAUUAUACAUAUCGCCCGUCACUCUC